UGGUUCUGGCAUCGAUGAAGAACGCAGCGAAAUGCGAUAAGUAAUGUGAAUUGCAGAAUUCAGCGAACCAUCGAAUCUUUGAACGCACAUUGCGCCCGCUGGUAUUCCGGCGGGCAUGCCUGUUCGAGCGUCAUUUCACCCCUCGAGCCCCGCUCGGUGAUGGGGCCCCGCGGCUGCCCGCGGGCCCUGAAAACCAGUGGCGGUCGCGCCCGGACCCGCAGCGUAGUAGCACACACCUCGCUCGCGGUGCCUGGCGCGCCCCCGCCGUGAAACAACACCCUUCCAAAGGUUGACCUCGGAUCAGGUAGGAAUACCCGCUGA
rnacentral:misc_RNA from 1 species